UCUACUAUGGCAGAUUUAUUGCACUUGAUUUAGGAUCAAGAAACGUUAUUUUUAACUAGUUGAU
rnacentral:tRNA from 1 species